GAGGGUAUAGCUCAGUGGUAGAGUGUAUGCUUAGCAUGCAUGAGGUCCUGGGUUCAAUCCCCAGUACCUUCA
rnacentral:tRNA from 2 species